rnacentral:rRNA from 1 species
UUGAAAGGGAAACGAUUGAAGUCAGUCGUACCUUCGGGUAAUCAGCCUUUCGGGUGCGAUUCUGUGGAGCGUGGGGAGUUAAACGCCUUCAUGCCUGCAUAUUCGUGCACUUUGGGUGUACUUGCCCGUGUGGUAGGCUAACAUCAAUUUCGGAUGUCAUAAAAUGGCUGGAGGAGUGUAGCUUCGGUCUCGUACUGAAGUGUUAUAGCCUUUGGUAGAUGUGAUGACCGGGAUUGAGGAUUGCAACGAAUACCUUUUGGGCUAUCCGUCUGAUCUCUGAAAGUUGCUCUGGUGCCGAAAGCUUGCUUACGGUUAUCAAAGUUGACGUUCAAAAGGUUAGAACGGGUUAAAUUCGUUAAGGAUGUUGACGUA